GUGGCAGAGUGACCAACUUCAAGUUGUCAUAUCUCUCCUUUAAGCCUUUCCACAAGAUGAGUCGAUCCUUGACGGUGAGAUAUUCAAUCUUCAGACCUUCAUCAAGGUGAUGGCGCAAGAAAAUCAAGGCUUUAGCACAGUCUUGGGUGGAUGCUUUUUCUCUAUCUUUAAUGGCGUCUCCAAGACCCAUAGCAUCUAAGUGGAUUUCAGCAUCCAACACCCAUGUCAUAUAGUUCUUGCCCGAAAUUUNNNN
rnacentral:lncRNA from 1 species